rnacentral:rRNA from 1 species
AAAGGAUGGGGCCCGCGGCCUGUUAGCUAGUUGGUGGGGUAGUGGCCUACCCAAGGCCAAUGAUGGGUAGCCGGGUUGAGAGACCGACCGGCCAGAUUGGGACUGAGACACGGCCCAGACUCCUACGGGAGGCAGCAGUGGGGAAUCUUGCACAAUGGGCGAAAGCCUGAUGCAGCGACGCCGCGUGCGGGAUGAAGGCCUUCGGGUUGUAAACCGCUUUCAGCAGGGACGAGGCCGCAAGGUGACGGUACCUGCAGAAGAAGCCCCGGCUAACUACGUGCCAGCAGCCGCGGUAAU